rnacentral:rRNA from 1 species
GACGAACGCUGGUGGCGUGCUUAACACAUGCAAGUCGAACGGGAUUUCGUAAACAGAAGCCUCGGUGGAAGAUUACUAAUGAGAGUGGCGAACGGGUGAGUAACGCGUGAGCAACCUGCCUCUGACAGUGGGAUAGCCUCGGGAAACCGGGAUUAAUACCGCCUAAAAUCGUAGAAACACAUGUUUUAACGGUCAAAGAUUUAUCGGUCAUAGAUGGGCUCGCGUCUGAUUAGCUAGUUGGUGAGAUAACAGCCCACCAAGGCGACGAUCAGUAGCCGGUCUGAGAGGAAGAACGGCAACAUUGGAAAUGAGACACGGGACAAACUCCUACGGGAGGCAGCAGUGGGGAAUAGUGCAAAAUGGGGGAAACCAUGAUGCAGCGACGACGAGUGAACGAAGAAGGUAGUCGUAUCGUAAAGUGCUGGACUAUGGGAAGAUAAUGACAGUACCAUAGAAGAAAGCUACGGCUAAAUACGUG